rnacentral:lncRNA from 1 species
UUAAAUCCAUACAGGACGGGUGCAUGGCCAAUAAUGAGUGAUGGACAGAGUUCUGAAACUACACCUUUCCAAUUAGUUAUUUAUCUGCUACUAGUAUGUAUCCCAGGCACUUCCUGAUGUGCGUGUGAACGUUAUGAAGAUGUGCAGGCAGAUCUGGGUUGGACACAAAAUAUCUACUAGAUCUUCCUUCAAGGAUGAAGAUCUACUUUCCAUGCCCUGAUCUAGAGUCCUUGAAUCCAGCAUUUGAAGACUACCCAUGUUCAGUGUCUUUCUGUGCCUGAAGGAAUCAAUUUUUUUCUGAGCUUAUGCCAAAGCCAGGCACUGACUGAGGAAGAGGCUGGACCAUGCUGUGGCUGCUGCACUGGGAACCUUAGCAGAUUCACCUUACCAAGCUGCAGUAUUUUAUGUCCCCAGCUCCAAGGUGACAGCAACUGAGGCAGCUUCCUAAGGAAAAGGUGUCCAGACCUGAUCUGGUCUUGGCCCUGGGGAGGUAAUUCAAGGCCGCCUUCAUAGCCCUGCACUAACUUUAUAGCCCAUACACAGAAGCUAGCUUCAGUAUUUCGACUGAUAGAAGGCUGUGAUCUUGAACUGCAUAAUGAAAAUUAAACACAGUACAUAAAGAUUGAGGUGAAUAUGAACAGAUCCAGACAAAUGUCAUUGUAUUCCUUCUUCAUCCAGCUAGCUUGUUUCCAAGCAAACUCCUCCGGAAUAUAAAGGGCAAGCAAAAGCCAUUUGAGUUAUAUUCAGUUUACAAAUUAAGUUGUUUUUAUCCUAUUUUUCAGGCCCU